rnacentral:lncRNA from 1 species
UUGGGGUUUGCAUCCAACUCACCAGCUGGUCCUGAGGCUGCAUCUGCCUCUCCAGGGUCUUAGAUACAUGAUGGCACUGUUGGCUUCCUGAAGACCUCUUCAUCCUGCAGAAGGUGCAACUCCACAGCAUCCUGAGAGGUUGGACACAAGCUGCUGGGAGCACAAAGGAACCCUGCCUGCCAGGCUUGAGUGUCAGAAUCUGGGCUUUCACCUGCAGGGACCUCAGGCCUCCAUCAGCCAGGCUUGGAAAGAAUGAAUGGUGCCUCUCGGUGAAUUACUACAACCUGAAUCCUGUGACCCCACCUGUGAUGGCCCAAUGUUAUUGAAAUUACUGACUCCAUCCACUUAGCAAGUGGUAAAUACUCUGCAGGCAUAGAUUUGACUAAUGUGUUCUGUUCAGCGCCUAUUUCAACAGAUCUCAGCUGCAGGUUGCUUUCACCCCCGAAGGGACACAAUAGACCGUUAUCUGGCUACCACGGGGUACCUCGACAGUUCUGCCACCAUACACAAUCUUUGCAGGCAGGAUUUGAACUGCAUCUGACAUUCUCUAGGAGUACAGGUGUAACAUCACCCUGAAGACACCCUUCUUUCAGCAAAUUCAUUUGACACACUCAGGACAUUACUCACAAAGAACUCAUAGAAAAGGAUGGGGUUUGUGUUUCCACAUGGUGGGAUUAAACUAAAACAAAAAAGUAUGGGCCACUGCCCCAGGCAUAGUACAGGGAUCCACACCAAUUUCUGGCCAUUGUCUGGUCAGUUGAGGGAUGCUCCAUCCCU